AACGAACGCUGGCGGCAUGCCUAACACAUGCAAGUCGAACGAGACCUUCGGGUCUAGUGGCGCACGGGUGCGUAACGCGUGGGAACCUGCCCUUAGGUUCGGAAUAACUCCCCGAAAGGGGUGCUAAUACCGGAUAAUGUCUUCGGACCAAAGAUUUAUCGCCUUUGGAUGGGCCCGCGUUGGAUUAGCUAGUUGGUAGGGUAAAAGCCUACCAAGGCGACGAUCCAUAGCUGGUCUGAGAGGAUGAUCAGCCACACUGGGACUGAGACACGGCCCAGACUCCUACGGGGGGCAGCAGUGGGGAAUAUUGGACAGUGGGCGAAAGCCUGAUCCAGCAAUGCCGCGUGAGUGAUGAAGGCCUUAGGGUUGUAAAGCUCUUUUACCCGGGAUGAUAAUGACAGUACCGGGAGAAUAAGCUCCGGCUAACUCCGUG
rnacentral:rRNA from 1 species